rnacentral:rRNA from 1 species
GAUGAACGCUGGCGGCGUGCCUAAUACAUGCAAGUCGAGCGAACGGACGAGAAGCUUGCUUCUCUGAUGUUAGCGGCGGACGGGUGAGUAACACGUGGAUAACCUACCUAUAAGACUGGGAUAACUUCGGGAAACCGGAGCUAAUACCGGAUAAUAUUUUGAACCGCAGGGUUCAAAAGUGAAAGACGGUCUUGCUGUCACUUAUAGAUGGAUCCGCGCUGCAUUAGCUAGUUGGUAAGGUAACGGCUUACCAAGGCAACGAUGCAUAGCCGACCUGAGAGGGUGAUCGGCCACACUGGAACUGAGACACGGUCCAGACUCCUACGGGAGGCAGCAGUAGGGAAUCUUCCGCAAUGGGCGAAAGCCUGACGGAGCAACGCCGCGUGAGUGAUGAAGGUCUUCGGAUCGUAAAACUCUGUUAUUAGGGAAGAACAUAUGUGUAAGUAACUGUGCACGUCUUGACGGUACCUAAUCAGAAAGCCACGGCUAACUACGUG